UGGAUUGGUGCCUUCGGGAACUCUGACACAGGUGCUGCAUGGCUGUCGUCAGCUCGUGUCGUGAGAUGUUGGGUUAAGUCCCGUAACGACGCGCAACCCUUGUCCUUAGUUACCAGCACGUUAUGGUGGGCACUCUAAGGAGACUGCCGGUGACAAACCGGAGGAAGGUGGGGAGUGACGUCAAGUCAUCAUGGCCCUUACGGCCUGGGCUACACACGUGCUACAAUGGUCGGUACAAAGGGUUGCCAAGCCGCGAGGUGGAGCUAAUCCCAUAAAACCGAUCGUAGUCCGGAUCGCAGUCUGCAACUCGACUGCGUGAAGUCGGAAUCGCUAGUAAUCGUGAAUCAGAAUGUCACGGUGAAUACGUUCCCGGGCCUU
rnacentral:rRNA from 1 species